rnacentral:siRNA from 1 species
ACUGGUCAAAUCUUGCGGUAGAGC